UAUGAACGUGCCACUGCACUCCAGCCUGGGCCACAGAGCAAGACCCUGUUUCAAAUAAAAUAAAAGAAGUUACCGAAAUACAGAUGUGCAAUUUUUAUUCCUUAGCCUAGUCUCAUCUCUGCUGCGUUUGACUACUGUUCACAUAUUAAUUCCACCAAAAUUUAAGUUCCUCCUCUGUGGCAGGGAAGCGCCCUUAACAGAAGCUGGGGAAACAACCAGGAACAAGACAGAUGCUGUGCCUACCCUCCUGGGGAUUACUUUCGAGUUGAGAAAGGAGAUAUUAAAUGGAGAAGGAAAAUAAGUUGCUGAGAAAUUAAAGGAAGACAGGUGACCUUUUGAUUUGAGAUGUCAAGAAAGUGCCCUCUGAAGAGGUUCAGUAAACUGAGAAGAAGCCAGCUCUGUGGAGAUAUCAGGAAAGAACAGCCAACAGAAGGAUCUACAUGUGAGCAAGCAACAGGGAAGGAGAAGAAUGUGGCGCCUUGAAGAAAGUGAGAAAGUGGGUCAUGGGAAGCACGGAGGAGGAGAUCAACAAGGCCAGGAGAAUCCCCAUCAUGCACAGACUCUCUGGGACCCUGUGAGGGAUACGGAGUUUAUUCCAAGUGUAAUGGGAAACUAGUGAAGAGUUUUCAACACGUGAGUGACAGGAUCUCGUUUCGUAACAUCACCCUGCUUGCUGCUGUGUAUACAUGGAACUUUUGAGAAACAAUUUAAAAAGAUGCAAAGAGAAGAGGUGCUUUUGCAAUGAGCAGGUUCUCUUUCCUGCUGAGUUGUGAAGAAGGUGCCUGCUUCCUCUUGCACGUGAUUGUUAAGUUUCCUGAGGCCUCCCCAGCCCUGCAGAACUCUGGACAAGUCUGACGCAGAAAGCUGGACAAGUCUGACGCAGCCGGGGACAGCUGGUCAUUUUAAAAGCUCCCUGGAAAAAGUCGCUGGUGCCAUAUGACUGACUGACUUCAAGCUGGCCUUAGAAAUUACUUGGAAAAAUUCAGACUGCUAAGCAAAGAGAUAUUCUAGAUAUGGAAUGAGAGGAAGAAAGAGAAGAAGGUAAGUCCAAGAUUGCUUUCUUGAUGCCCCCAGUAGCGAACAUAGUACCCAUUAGCUUUAAAUUCCAAAAGCUUUAGUACUGACCCCAGUUCUAGGUACACAUGGGAAAUGCGUUCUGCCACCUUUCCUCAGGGCUUCUGGCCUCCUAGGUUCCUGUUCUCUGCCUCUCUAUACCUAGGGCUUGUUUACCUGGCACUAAACAAUUUACCAUUUUUCAUUUCACUUCACUUUCCAUCUGAUUUAAAUUUUUCAAACAUGCAACAUUAUCUUCAAUAGAUCAUUU